rnacentral:rRNA from 1 species
CAGCAUGACCUUUAUAUCCAGGGCUACACACACGCUACAAUGGUCUGUACAAUGGGUAGCCAAGCCGCGAGGCGGAGCCAAUCCUGAAAGCAGGCCUCAGUUCAGAUUGCAGUCUGCAACUCGACUGCAUGAAGCCGGAGUUGCUAGUAACCGCAGGUCAGCAAUACUGCGGUGAAUACGUUCCCGGGUCUU